rnacentral:rRNA from 1 species
UACGAAGGGGGCUAGCGUUGCUCGGAAUCACUGGGCGUAAAGGGUGCGUAGGCGGGUCUUUAAGUCAGGGGUGAAAUCCUGGAGCUCAACUCCAGAACUGCCUUUGAUACUGAGAAGCUUGAGUCCGGGAGAGGUGAGUGGAACUGCGAGUGUAGAGGUGAAAUUCGUAGAUAUUCGCAAGAACACCAGUGGCGAAGGCGGCCAUCUGGCCCAUUUUUGACGCUGAGGCGCGAAAGCGUGGGGAGCAAACAGG